ensembl:snRNA U1 U1 spliceosomal RNA
AUACUUACCUGGCAGGGGCGGCAAUACAUGAUCAAGUAGGUGGGUUCGCGCCAAGGCGAUUGGCUCAACCAUCUGCACUUCAGGCUGUGACCUGACCUUUGCGAAUUCCCCUUUAUGUGGGUAAUCUCGACUGCACAAUUUCUUAUAUUGGGUGACUGCGUUCGCGCUGUCCCCUG